rnacentral:rRNA from 1 species
GACGAACGCUGGCGGCGUGCCUAAUACAUGCAAGUAGAACGCUGAAGGAGGAGCUUGCUUCUCUGGAUGAGUUGCGAACGGGUGAGUAACGCGUAGGUAACCUGCCUGGUAGCGGGGGAUAACUAUUGGAAACGAUAGCUAAUACCGCAUAAGAGUAGAUGUCGCAUGACAUUUGCUUAAAAGGUGCAAUUGCAUCACUACCAGAUGGACCUGCGUUGUAUUAGCUAGUUGGUGAGGUAACGGCUCACCAAGGCAACGAUACAUAGCCGACCUGAGAGGAUGAUCGGCCACACUGGGACUGAGACACGGCCCAGACUCCUACGGGAGGCAGCAGUAGGGAAUCUUCGGCAAUGGACGGAAGUCUGACCGAGCAACGCCGCGUGAGUGAAGAAGGUUUUCGGAUCGUAAAGCUCUGUUGUAAGAGAAGAACGAGUGUGAGAGUGGAAAGUUCACACUGUGACGGUAUCUUACCAGAAAGGGACGGCUAACUACGUG